GAUGAAGAACGUAGCGAAAUGCGAUAAGUAAUGCGAAUUGCAGAAUUCCAGUGAGUCAUCGAAUCUUUGAACGCACAUUGCGCCCUUUGGUAUUCCGAAGGGCAUGCCUGUUCGAGCGUCAUUAUCACCCCUCAAGCCCUCGGCUUGGUGUUGGACGGUUUGGUGGAGGCCCCCUCGGGGGCUCCUGCCCCUCCCAAAGACAAUGACGGCGGCCUCGUUGGACCCCCGGUACACUGAGUUCUUCACGGGACACGUAUUGGACACAUGGGUUUACGGGACACGGUCUGCCUCCCCUCAGGGAGAAUCUUUCUAAGGUUGACCUCGGAUCAGGUAGGGAUACCCGCUGAACUUAAGCAUAUCAAUAAGCGGAGGA
rnacentral:misc_RNA from 1 species